CCACACCAUAAAACUUUCCACGUGAACCGUUACAAUUAUGUUCUGUGCUCUCUCUCGGGAGGGCUGAACGAAGGUAGAGCUGCAUGUAAAAGUGCGGUUUUGCCGAUGUACUUUUAAACCCAUUACACUAAUACUGAACUAUACUCCGAGAACGAAAGUUUUUGGUUUUAAUCAAUAACAACUUUCAGCAGUGGAUGUCUAGGCUCGCACAUCGAUGAAGAACGCUGCGAACUGCGAUACGUAAUGCGAAUUGCAGAAUUCAGUGAGUCAUCGAAAUUUUGAACGCACAUUGCACUUUCGGGAUAUUCCUGGAAGUAUGCUUGUAUCAGUGUCCGUACAUCAAACUUGCCUUUCUUUUUUUGUGUAGUCAAGGAGAGAAAUGGCAGAAUGUGAGGUGUCUCGCUGACUCCCUCUUCGGAGGAGAAGACGCGAGUCCCUUUAAAUGUACGUUCGCUCUUUCUUGUGUCUGAGAUGAAGUGUGACUUUCGAACGCAGUGAUCUGUUUGGAUCGCUUUGCGCGAGUGGGCGACUUCGGUUAGAACAUUAAAGAAGCAACCUCUAUUGGCGGUAUGUUAGGCUUCGGCCCGACUUUGCAGCUGACAGUGUGUUGUUUUCUGUUCUUUCCUUGAGGUGUACCUGUCUUGUGUGAGGCAACGGUCUGAGCAAAUGGUUAUUGUGUAGUAGAAUUUUGCUGCUCUUGGACGCCCUACUCGUAGGGUAAAGGAGGCAACACCAAUUUGGGACUAGUCUGUUUCGGCAGGCGCAUUUUCAAUUUGGACCUGAUAUCAAGCAAGAUUACCCGCUGAACUUAAG
rnacentral:rRNA from 1 species